rnacentral:rRNA from 1 species
CCUACGGGUGGCAGCAGUAAGGAAUAUUGGUCAAUGGACGCAAGUCUGAACCAGCCAUGCCGCGUGGAGGAUGAAGGUCCUCUGGAUUGUAAACUUCUUUUCUCUGGGACGAAACCCCCGAUUUCUAUCGGGCCUGACGGUACCAGAGGAAUAAGCACCGGCUAACUCCGUGCCAGCAGCCGCGGUAAUACGGAGGGUGCAAGCGUUAUCCGGAUUUACUGGGUUUAAAGGGAGCGUAGGCGGGCAGUUAAGUCAGUGGUGAAAUCUCUGGGCUUAACCCGGAAACUGCCAUUGAUACUAUCUGUCUUGAAUAUUCUGGAGGUAAGCGGAAUAUGUCAUGUAGCGGUGAAAUGCUUAGAUAUGACAUAGAACACCCAUUGCGAAGGCAGCUUACUACGGGAUUAUUGACGCUGAGGCUCGAAAGCGUGGGGAUCAAACAGGAUUAGAUACCCUGGUAGUC